rnacentral:rRNA from 1 species
GACUCAACACGGGGAAACUCACCAGGUCCAGACACAUUAAGGAUUGACAGAUUGAGAGCUCUUUCUUGAUUUUGUGGUUGGUGGUGCAUGGCCGUUCUUAGUUGGUGGAGUGAUUUGUCUGCUUAAUUGCGAUAACGAACGAGACCUUAACUGUUAAAUAGCCCGUAUCGCUUUGGCGGUACGCUGGCUUCUUAGCAGGACUAUCGGCUCAAGCCGAUGGAAGUUUGAGGCAAUAACAGGUCUGUGAUGCCCUUAGAUGUUCUGGGCCGCACGCGCGCUACACUGACAGAGCCAGCGAGUACUUCCUUGGCCGAAAGGUCCGGGUAAUCUUGUUAAACUCUGUCGUGCUGGGGAUAGAGCAUUGCAGUUAUUGCUCUUCAACGAGGAAUCCCUAGUAAGCGCAAGUCAUCAGCUUGCGUUGAUUACGUCCCUGCCCUUUGUACACACCGCCCGUCGCUACUACCGAUUGAAUGGCUAAGUGAGGCUUCCGGACUGGCUCAGGGAGGUCGGCAACGACCACCCAGAGCUGGAAAGUUGUCCAAACUUGGUCAUUUAGAGGAAGUAAAAGUCGUAACAAGGU